UGGCUCAGGAUGAACGCUAGCGGCAGGCUUAACACAUGCAAGUCGAGGGGCAUCGGGAGUAGCAAUACUGCCGGCGACCGGCGCAAGGGUGCGUAACGCGUGAGCAACAUGCCCGUAUCAGGGGGAUAAUCCAUGGAAACGUGGUCUAAUACCCCAUAGUAAUUAUGUAAGGCAUCUUAUAUAAUUUAAAGCUUUGGUGGAUACGGAUUGGCUCGCGUGACAUUAGCUAGAUGGUAAGGUAACGGCUUACCAUGGCUACGAUGUCUAGGGGUUCUGAGAGGAAGGUCCCCCACACUGGAACUGAGACACGGUCCAGACUCCUACGGGAGGCAGCAGUGAGGAAUAUUGGACAAUGGAUGGAAAUCUGAUCCAGCCAUGCCGCGUGCAGGAAGAACCGGCCCUAUGGGUUGUAAACUGCUUUUGUAUGGGAGCAAUAAGGGCUACGUGUAGUCCGAUGAGAGUACCAUACGAAUAAGCACCGGCUAACUCCGUGCCAGCAGCAGC
rnacentral:rRNA from 1 species